rnacentral:rRNA from 1 species
UACGGAGGGAGCUAGCGUUAUUCGGAAUUACUGGGCGUAAAGCGCACGUAGGCGGCUUUGUAAGUUAGAGGUGAAAGCCCAGGGCUUAACCCUGGAAUUGCCUUUAAGACUGCAUCGCUCGAAUUGUGGAGAGGUGAGUGGAAUUCCGAGUGUAGAGGUGAAAUUCGUAGAUAUUCGGAAGAACACCAGUGGCGAAGGCGACUCACUGGACACAUAUUGACGGCUGAGGUGCGAAAGCGUGGGGAGCAAACAGG